GCGAUUCGGCAUGGUCUGAAUAUUUAUUUUCUUGUUUUUUCUUUUUGUUAUUUGAUGGUUGUUUACUGAAGUAUCAUUUUUGUUGUUGUAGGUUUAUGAUUUAAUUUUUUAUGUGAUAGGUUAUUUGUACUGUGGGGGGUUGUAUAAUUUCUUUUUUAGAAGCUGAUUUUGUUUGUUGUACCUUGUGUAUCAGGGUUCAUUGAAUUUUAUUAUUUAUUUUUGUUUCCCGAUUUUAAAGGAGUUAAUGGUUUAUGUUAGUUACUGUUUUAGUAUUAUUAAUAAUAGGCUGUUGGUAGUGAGAUGUUAUUCGUCUUUAGUGGUUUCUGGUUUUUCAAGAAAUGAAUUUAAUUCAUGCACUUUAUUUAGAGUUUACUGUUAUUUUAUUGUUUUUUAUUUGGUGUUAAGAUUAGGGGGGAUUAGCUCCUUAUUUUAUUUUUAUAAUUUUUGAUUUUAAUUUAGUUUUGUGGAUUUUAUGGUGAUUUUCGAUUUGAUUAUGUUGAAAUUUUAUUUAUUCUUUUUUUAAUUUGUUUAUUUGAUUUAAUGUGUUUAUUGGAAUGUUUUUUGUAUCUUUUUUUGUAUGGUAAUUAUUGUGAAAUUAGUAAAUUUUUUUUUGUUGUGUUGUUAUUUGAGUGUUAAUUUCUUUUGAGGAAUUAGGCAAAUAUUUCAUGUCCGCCUGUUUAACAAAAACAUCUCUUCUUGUUAGUUUUUUAAGUAUGGCCUGCCCACUGACGUUGAUUGAAGGGCCGCGGUAUUUUGACCGUGCAAAGGUAGCGUAAUCAUUAGUUCUUUAAUUGUGAUCUGGUAUGAAUGGCUUGACGAGGCAUGGGCUGUCUUGGAUGUGGAUUUAUUUAUUGAAUUUGGUUUUUGAGUUAAAAUUCUUAGAUGUUUUUAUGGGACGAGAAGACCCUAUAGAGUUUGACAUUAGGUUUACUUUUGUUUGAUGUUUGUUUUGUAUUGUUUUGUAUUCUUAUUGUUUUGUUGGGGUGAUGGGAGGAAAUGUUUUUAACUCCUCUUUUUGUUUGGUAUAUUUAUUUAUGUUUAUUUUGAUCCAUUUAUUUUGAUUGUAAGAUUAAAUUACCUUAGGGAUAACAGCGUUAUCUUCCUUGAGAGUUCUUAUUGGCAGGGGGGUUUGCGACCUCGAUGUUGGAUUAAGGUUAAUUUUUGGUGUAGGAGCUGAAUUGAUUGGGUCUGUUCGACCUUUAAAAUCUUACAUGAUCUGAGUUCAGACCGGCGUGAGCCAGGUUGGUUUCUAUCUAUAGUAUGUUUUUAUAUCUUAGUACGAGAGGACCGGGUAUUUGGAAUAAUUUUAUGUGUUAUGUAUAUUAUUAAUGGUGGUUUACUAUUUUGGCAGAUAAGUGCAUUGGAUUUAGAAUCUAUUAA
rnacentral:rRNA from 1 species